AUCCUUAUCAGGAAAUAAACACAUCUAAAUAGCAAAAUAUUUAGUUUCAGAAAUAUAGCCAAUUUGAUGUGUCCAAAAUUUUUCUAUCUUAUCCUAUCUAUCUAUCUGUCCAUCUAUGUAUCUGUUCUAUCCAUUGAUCCAUCCAUCCAUCUCUCUCAACAGUUUCUAAGCCACGAUAUCUCAAUAGCAGUACUUUGAAAUAAUCAAUGAAACGAUAACAUCUAAAACCCGUUCUCUACUGAACUUCUUUCCUGCAACCUACAGCUGCCAAGCAAGUCAUUCAAGAGCUGCAGUCAUUUGAAAGUGUGCUCUGUCCAGCACCAGCCACUCUUCUCCUGGUCGUGGCGCCUGCUUUUCCUCUGAGGACUUUCCCCUGUGCUUAUUCGCAGCAUAUGUGGUUUGAUGGAACUGAAUUUGAAGUGGUCACGUGGUUAGAGCCUUCAUUCUACUCUCCUCACUCCAGGAAUUGCUUCAGGAAUGGAUAUGCAGCCAGCUGGGUCAGUACUUUUGUUCCCACUGUUGAGGAGAGAGAAGCUCCCUUUAAUACAGGCCUUGAAUCUGUAGCUUGGACCUGCUACAGCCAUUCUGCCACCAUGAGGAGAGAGUAUCUUUGAGAAUGAAACCCACAGAGAAGAAACAGAAUAGAGAAACCGGAGAGAGAAAUGGAUCCUGAUGCCUCAUUUGAAUCUCUGUAUCCAACCAUGCCUCCAGGUCUACGCACUCCAAUCUGGCAGCCACCCGUCACCUGUGACUAACACCUCA
rnacentral:lncRNA from 1 species